UUCUAAGAGCUGGUAGAGCAGAAUCGGCCAGUUGAACAUCCCUUUAUUCUCUGAAUUAACUCGGGUUGAACUACUAAGUGAGCUAGACAUAUGGCUCUUUCAAGUCUGGGAGUUGUAUCUACUGUGUGGCAUUUAUCAUCCUACACUCAGAGACCAUUAUAUGAGAUAAUAUACAUGCAUUCUUCCUACUGAGGGCAUUGGCUACCACAUUAC
rnacentral:lncRNA from 1 species